rnacentral:rRNA from 1 species
AACGAACGCUGGCGGCAUGCCUAACACAUGCAAGUCGAACGAGAUCUUCGGGUCUAGUGGCGCACGGGUGCGUAACGCGUGGGAAUCUGCCCUUUGGUUCGGAAUAACAGUUGGAAACGACUGCUAAUACCGGAUGAUGACGAAAGUCCAAAGAUUUAUCGCCAGAGGAUGAGCCCGCGUAGGAUUAGCUAGUUGGUGUGGUAAAGGCGCACCAAGGCGACGAUCCUUAGCUGGUCUGAGAGGAUGAUCAGCCACACUGGGACUGAGACACAGCCCAGACUCCUACGGGAGGCAGCAGUGGGGAAUAUUGGACAAUGGGCGAAAGCCUGAUCCAGCAAUGCCGCGUGAGUGAUGAAGGCCUUAGGGUUGUAAAGCUCUUUUACCCGGGAUGAUAAUGACAGUACCGGGAGAAUAAGCUCCGGCUAACUCCGUGCCAGCCGCCGCCAACA